GUCAGCGGCGAUAGCAUGUUGAUCCAGUUCCAAAUGCACCUCUGAAGUUAAGCAACGUUGCGCGUGGUUUGUAUCCGGAUGGGUGACCAUCUGUAAUCUUGUUUGUAAGGCUGGGU
rnacentral:rRNA from 1 species